AUGAACGCUAGCUACAGGCUUAACACAUGCAAGUCGAGGGGCAUCAGGAAGAAAGCUUGCUUUCUUUGCUGGCGACCGGCGCACGGGUGAGUAACACGUAUCCAACCUGCCCUUUACUCGGGGAUAGCCUUUCGAAAGAAAGAUUAAUACCCGAUAGCAUAAUGAUUCCGCAUGGUUUCAUUAUUAAAGGAUUCCGGUAAAGGAUGGGGAUGCGUUCCAUUAGGUUGUUGGUGAGGUAACGGCCCACCAAGCCUUCGAUGGAUAGGGGUUCUGAGAGGAAGGUCCCCCACAUUGGAACUGAGACACGGUCCAAACUCCUACGGGAGGCAGCAGUGAGGAAUAUUGGUCAAUGGGCGGUAGCCUGAACCAGCCAAGUAGCGUGAAGGAUGAAGGCUCUAUGGGUCGUAAACUUCUUUUAUAUAAGAAUAAAGUGCAGUAUGUAUACUGUUUUGUAUGUAUUAUAUGAAUAAGGAUCGGCUAACUCCGUGCCAGCAGCCGCGGUAAUACGGAGGGUGCAAGCGUUAAUCGGAAUUACUGGGCGUAAAGCGCACGUAGGCGGAUCGGAAAGUCAGAGGUGAAAUCCCAGGGCUCAACCCUGGAACUGCCUUUGAAACUCCCGAUCUUGAGGUCGAGAGAGGUGAGUGGAAUUCCGAGUGUAGAGGUGAAAUUCGUAGAUAUUCGGAGGAACACCAGUGGCGAAGGCGGAUUGCUGGACGAUAACUGACGGUGAGGCGCGAAAGUGUGGGGAGCAAACAGGAUUAGAUACCCUGGUAGUCCACACAGUAAACGAUGAAUACUCGCUGUUUGCGAUAUACAGUAAGCGGCCAAGCGAAAGCAUUAAGUAUUCCACCUGGGGAGUACGCCGGCAACGGUGAAACUCAAAGGAAUUGACGGGGGCCCGCACAAGCGGAGGAACAUGUGGUUUAAUUCGAUGAUACGCGAGGAACCUUACCCGGGCUUAAAUUGCAGUGGAAUGAUGUGGAAACAUGUCAGUGAGCAAUCACCGCUGUGAAGGUGCUGCAUGGUUGUCGUCAGCUCGUGCCGUGAGGUGUCGGCUUAAGUGCCAUAACGAGCGCAACCCUUAUCUUCAGUUACUAACAGGUUAUGCUGAGGACUCUGGAGAGACUGCCGUCGUAAGAUGUGAGGAAGGUGGGGAUGACGUCAAAUCAGCACGGCCCUUACGUCCGGGGCUACACACGUGUUACAAUGGGGGGUACAGAAGGCAGCUAGCGGGUGACCGUAUGCUAAUCCCAAAAUCCUCUCUCAGUUCGGAUCGAAGUCUGCAACCCGACUUCGUGAAGCUGGAUUCGCUAGUAAUCGCGCAUCAGCCACGGCGCGGUGAAUACGUUCCCGGGCCUUGUACACACCGCCCGUCAAGCCAUGGGAGCCGGGGGUACCUGAAGUACGUAACCGCAAGGAUCGUCCUAGGGUAAAACUGGUGACUGGGGCU
rnacentral:rRNA from 1 species